AACGUUCGGAUUGUAGGCUGCAACUCGCCUACAUGAAGUUGGAAUUGCUAGUAAUCAUAGGUCAGCAUACUAUGGUGAAUACGUUCCCGGGCCUUGUACACACCGCCCGUCACACCAUGAGAGUUGAGAGUACCCGAAGCCCAUGUCAAAGUGGUCGAAGGUAGGCUUGAUGAUUGGGGUGAAGUCGUAACAAGGUACC
rnacentral:rRNA from 1 species